rnacentral:lncRNA from 1 species
UGUACAUCUUAGGAAGCUAUUUCUUGAUUUAAGGCAGGGGUCCCCAAACUUUUUAAGCAGAGGGCCGGUCCACAAUCCUUCAGACUGUUGAGGGGCCGAAUUAUCAUUUGAAAAAAACAAAACAAAUUCUUAUGCAUACUGCACAUGUCUUAUUUGUAGUGCAACAACAACAACAAAAAAAAUACAAUAUUUAAAAAUGAAAACAAUUUUAACCAACAUAAACCUAUCAGGAUUUCAAUGGAAAGUGUGGGCUAAUUAACUUGACUAUCUCAUUGGCCCACACUUUCCAUUGAAAUCCUAAUAGGUUUAUGUUGGUUAAAAUUGUUUUCAUUUUUAAAUAUUGUAUUGUUCUUUUGUUGUUGUUGUUGUUGCACUACAAAUAAGACAUGUGCAGUAUGCAUAGGAAUUUGUUUGUAUUUUUUUUCAAAUGAUAAUUCGGCCCCUCCACAGUCUGAAGGAUUGUGGACCGGCCCUCUGCUUAAAAAGUUUGGGGACCCCUGAUUUAUCCUCUUUUUAUUACGGUCUUACCAUUUAUGUGUUUUAAAUGAAAUUUUUAUCCUCUAUUGUUGUUUAUAUUGAUAUAUUGUAUUAUUGUUUUAUCUUUUUAUAUUGUGACUAGCUGUGCCCGGCCACGCGUUUCUGUGGCUUGUCUGGUGGUGUUGGUGAGAAAUUGUUGAGGUAGUGGUGGUAUUGAAUGUCUGUUGUAUGGUUGUCUUUAUGUUUAGUAUGCACACUGAAGUGGAUUAUAUGGCAGUGUGGAGUCAAGAUAAUCCAGUUCAAAGCAGAUAAUAUAAGAUUCUAAAUGGGUUAUAUAUCUGUGUGGAAGGGCCUUGAGUCUACACUGCCAUAUAAUCCAGUUAAAAUCUGAUAAUCUGUGGAAAAUGCAUAAGUGAGGCCUAACUGUGCCUGUCCCCUGGGCUGAGUAGGUUUGCUAGGAGACCAAGUGGGCGGAGCUUAGCCUUCUAACUGGCAGCAAUUGGAUAAAAACAAUUAUUCCUCUCCCUGUAAUUAGGACUUUAUUUUUCUUUUCUUUUUGUU